rnacentral:rRNA from 1 species
UACGGAGGGUGCAAACGUUGCUCGGAAUCAUUGGGCGUAAAGCGCGCGUAGGCGGCUUUGUAAGUUAGAGGUGAAAGCCCAGAGCUUAACCCUGGAAUUGCCUUUAAGACUGCAUCGCUAGAAUCGUGGAGAGGUGAGUGGAAUUCCGAGUGUAGAGGUGAAAUUCGUAGAUAUUCGGAAGAACACCAGUGGCGAAGGCGACUCACUGGACACGUAUUGACGCUGAGGUGCGAAAGCGUGGGGAGCAAACAGG